AUGGCCGGCCCUGGCAGUGGCAGACCAGCCGGCGGCGAAGGCUACUGUGAUGUGAUUUAUUCACCCUAUCCGCAGUCGUCGCCUUUUGCUCCUCGCCUGACCGACCUGUUCCAACAAUUCGGCCUGGACAAGAUCCGCGAUAUCAUGAACCGUCCCGAUGGCAAGACGUUCGAGCAGAGGAUCAUCCACUUACGAGAGGAACUGGAUGCUUUCGAACGUGCUCGUAACAUAUUCUACAUGGUCGAGGUCGACGAUGACGAGGAUGAGGAUGAGGACGAGGACGAGGAGGAUGAAAAUGUAGGACAGAUGCUCUUAGGUGAUGAAGAAAACCCAGAUACCGCAAAACGGCCACAUGCUCCUAUUGAAGGCGAACUGGAGUGCGAGAAGCCAAAGAUGGCACAAGACUUGAGGUGCCGAUUAUGA
rnacentral:rRNA from 1 species